AGACUUUCGGAUUAUUGGGUUUAAGGGAGCGUAGGCCGCCCUAUUAAGUCUGUUGUGAAAUGUGCUGCUCAACCUCUAACCUGCCCCGCAAACUGGUGGCUUGAGUGUGCGAAAGGUGGGCGGAAUUCCUCGUGUAGCGGUGAAAUGCUUAGAUAUGACGAAGAACUCCGAUUGCGAAGGCAGCUUCUGGGAGCACAACUGACGCUGAAGCUCGAAAGUGCGGGUAUCAAACAGGAUUAGAUACCCUGGUAGUCCGCACCGUAAACGAUGGAUGCCCGUUGUGGGGAUGUUUAAUGCUGGUGCCCAAGCUAAAGCUUUAAGUAUCCCCCCGGGGGAGUACGCCGGCAAGGGUGAAACUCAAGAAAAUUUGCGGGGG
rnacentral:rRNA from 1 species